ACACAUGCAAGUCGAACGGCAGCAUGAUCUAGCUUGCUAGAUUGAUGGCGAGUGGCGAACGGGUGAGUAAUACAUCGGAACGUGCCCUGUAGUGGGGGAUAACUAGUCGAAAGAUUAGCUAAUACCGCAUACGACCUGAGGGUGAAAGUGGGGGACCGCAAGGCCUCAUGCUAUAGGAGCGGCCGAUGUCUGAUUAGCUAGUUGGUGAGGUAAAGGCUCACCAAGGCGACGAUCAGUAGCUGGUCUGAGAGGACGAUCAGCCACACUGGGACUGAGACACGGCCCAGACUCCCUACGGGAGGCAGCAGUGGGGAAUUUUGGACAAUGGGCGAAAGCCUGAUCCAGCAAUGCCGCGUGUGUGAAGAAGGCCUUCGGGGUUGUAAAGCACUGUUGUCCGGAAAGAAAUGGCUCUGGUUAAUACCUGGGGUCGAUGACGGUACCGGAAGAAUAAGGACCGGCUAACUACGUGCCAGCAGCCGCGGUAAUACGUAGGGUCCAAGCGUUAAUCGGAAUUACUGGGCGUAAAGCGUGCGCAGGCGGUUGUGCAAGACCGAUGUGAAAUCCCCGAGCUUAACUUGGGAAUUGCAUUGGUGACUGCACGGCUAGAGUGUGUCAGAAGGGGGUAGAAUUCCACGUGUAGCAGUGAAAUGCGUAGAGAUGUGGAGGAAUACCGAUGGCGAAGGCAGCCCCCUGGGAUAACACUGAACGCUCAUGCACGAAAGCGUGGGGAGCAAACAGGAUUAGAUACCCUGGUAGUCCACGCCCUAAACGAUGUCAACUAGUUGUUGGGGAUUCAUUUCCUUAGUAACGUAGCUAACGCGUGAAGUUGACCGCCUGGGGAGUACGG
rnacentral:rRNA from 1 species